CUGUAUGUAAUGGUACUCACUCGCUUCCUGCAGGUAGUUUUUCAUCAUACAUUUUGUUCAUAUACGAAUAUAGCAAACAAGUAUUUUGUAUAAUUACUCAUCGUAACUAACUCUUUUACGUUGAUUUCAGGUGUUGAUCGAGAUGGAAACAGAGGUUCUGGUGGAAUAUUACAGGGAAUAAAUUAGAGUACGAUGAUACGAUAACUUGGUGUUGGAAGUAUGUGUGUGACAGAGCUCUGAAUUGUUACAUGUAUCAGUUAUUCAGUUUAAUAAUGGAACAUGCCUGAGUUCAGUUGUUGUUUUAUUCUCGUCACUUAACAUGUUAGAAUACAAUAUGAUCGUAGUAAGCUCUUCUGCUAACAUAUGUAAAUUUCAAGAGAUUUGGUCAAUUAACAUGUUUUAAAAGAAAACGAGGACUUGGAAUAAUCAUUAAGACUGAACUCCCCAACUAAGGCAACUGCAAAUGCUGUUUCAUCAUCUCCAUUCGUAACACAUAAAUUCUUACAAUGAUACAGACCAGUAAAGUUAGACAAGUAAAUAACACAAAGCCCAUAAAUUCUAAAUGAAAUAUAAGGAAUUCAGUAUUCAAGCUUACAGAAAUAUUCCAGUAAAUGAGGAUUACAUCUGAGCAUCUGUGGCUUCCACCGGAAAUACGUUAAUAAAAUAAGUACAUAUUCCUUAAUUCAAUGGUAAGACUGAAAAUGUAUUUUAUACAAUUUAUUUUAACAUUGUUCACUAUAAGAAAUGAUAAUAGGACUACAUAUUCCUUAAUUCGAUGGUAAGACUGAAAAUGUAUUUUAUACAAUCUAUUUUAACAUUGUUCACUAUAAGAAAUGAUAGUAGGACUUUUCGCACGGUCGGUUGCCCACGAUACGUAUCCCCUAAAUAAUUUUUGACAUAUUUUUUUCAUUCUAAAUUUUACAAAUUAUAUAAGUGUCCCCAGAAAAUGUAGAAAUAUACAAGUUUUUUCUAGAAUAUUUGUUUGGUGUCCCCGAAGAAACCGAUCCUAGAUCCCCCCAUGAGUCUUGCUCAGAAACAAAAUGGUCGGUCCACAAAGGUCACAUAUAUCCCCUCCCAACGGCGUUAACCCGACCAACUUACAAUUUUGCUGUUAACAAGUCUUUUCUGUCCAAAUUUUUCAGAUGAAUGUAGUGAUUCUAUUAGUACUUAUUACAGUUACAGUGAAGCCCGAAGACCGAUGAAUAAGGAAGCCAAGACAGUAAUGAAAACUUAAGGUAGGGAGGUCGCUACAGCACACAAUUACAUAGAUAUAUAUUGUCAAUUGUGACGGAUACAAAUGCAGAGACUCAAUCCCAAAUACAGAACAUGCAAUUGCGCAUGCUGAUUGCAGACAAGUACUACUGCGCCGCUUCUUUAUAAAUCAAACCAGCGUUCAUAUAAAAUACAUAACAUAAAACAACCUCCAUCUCAAGCCAGAUAUAAGGUGAAUUAGCCAUAUCUACGCGCUUCUGGGAGCUUCUUGGUGAUUGGGUAAUCCACGAUGACCGUGCCAUUAAAUAGCUUGGCUGCCUGGUAGCAAUCAAUAGUAGCUGUUGCGGCCUUUGCCUCCUGAGCAGGAACAAGCACCUGAUAAACAUGCGGCUUCUGUGGCAGCUGCUGAUUCAUAUUCAUAAAUUGUUCAUGUUGUUUUUGUAGCGGCUGUGACCGGGCUUUUCCUCUCUUUCUCUCGAAGUAUUCAUCCAACAUGGCAAAGCCUUCGUGCGCAGCCUUCAUAAGGUUCGACUUGCUUGGUGCCAUAUGUCUCUUGAGUUAAUUGAAAGCAAGUUUAAGUUUGUAUGUUUGGUGCAUGUAGUUCUAUAAACAAAAGUCCUAUAUAUAGAAGGUUUAUCAGUAAUGUGAACAGAGAAAAAGUGAAAUUAAAAUAUGAAUUAGGCCGGUUACGAUCUUCUAACUUUUAGUAAUAUACGAUUCUUAAAAGAUAGGCAUGGAGCUGAUGAAGCUUGAAGAUGAA
rnacentral:lncRNA from 1 species